UACGUAGGGGGCGAGCGUUGUCCGGAGUUACUGGGCGUAAAGCGCUUGUAGGCGGUCCUCCAAGUUUGGGGUGACAGUUGCCGACUUAAUCGGCAAAGUGCCUCAAAGACUGGCGGACUUGAGGGCCACAGAGGGACAUGGAACUCCAGGUGUAGUGGUGAAAUGCGUAGAUAUCUGGAAGAACACCAAAGGCGAAGGCAGUGUCCUGGGUGGUCGCUGACGCUGAGAGGCGAAAGCCAGGGGAGCGAACGGG
rnacentral:rRNA from 1 species